UUAGGGGAAUUGUAGUGGAGUUAAAGUUGCUAUAAAUAAAGUACAGAUACCGGCAUUUUGAACAAAGUAUUUGUACUUUCCAGGUUUGAGAAACACCAAUCAACGUUUUCUGAAUCAAAUAACAGAUCUAUCUAUUGAUUAUUCGUUUAUGAAAAUAAUCGUUUGUUGAAGCCCUAAUCACCCCUUAAUCGCUGACAUGAUUAGAGGCAUCGGUGUAGUCCACACUCCCAAACAGAAGGGGGCUCUAAGUACCGAAGCUGCGCCAUUGACGCUAGAAGAAGAAGCAGCCAGAGGGAGAGGCUUUCUGACAUGGCAGAGAGGGUUUUAGCCGUUGACCUGCAUCAGGACGUCUGGAUUCAUCAUGUCACUGCUCCUCGUCUUCACUUUGACUGCAGCGUACACCUCUGUUUACACUGUGGGUUGAGGUAGUAGGUUGUAUAGUUUUAGGGUCACACCCGCACUGGGAGAUAACUAUUCAACCUACUGUCUUUCUCAAAGUGCCAAACUUGCCCCUCAGUCGCCGCUGUACGGAUUAUGAUGGUCAGUUUUCUGAGAGCUGUGCUGUCGUGUCUGAUGAGCACGUUUCUCCCAGCUGCUCGCACGGUGUGAGGUAGUAGAUUGUAUAGUUUUAGGGUAGUGAUUUUGCCCUGUUUGGAGAUAACUAUACAAUCUAUUGCCUUCCCUAUGGAGUGGCAUCUCUACUCUUAUGAAAUAAUUUUUAAAAAAAUGUUUUCUUCACUAAUCACAGCUGUUACUUGGUUAUCGUAUGAUGUCUCCCUCAGAGCAUUGUUUCUGGGAAAAGUUAGUGUCUUAGCUUGUACUCUAUGUCCCUUACCAUAAAUUAAAUAAUAAAUUAAUUUAUUAUUCAAAUAUA